rfam:Aspergillus zonatus CBS 506.65 unplaced genomic scaffold ASPZOscaffold_14, whole genome shotgun sequence.
GGCUUCAUGGUCUAGUGGUUAUGACAUCGGAUUCUGAUUCCGGUAACCUGGGUUCAAUUCCCAGUGAGGCCU